GCUUACGGCCAUACCAACCUGGCUAUGCCCGAUCUCGUCUGAUCUCGGAAGCUAAGCAGGUUGGGCCUGGUUAGUACUUGGAUGGGAGACCGCCUGGGAAUACCAGGUGCUUGUAAGCU
rnacentral:rRNA from 1 species